rnacentral:rRNA from 1 species
AAGCUCGUAGUUGAAUUUCGGGAUUGACACAUUGGUCGUGCCCUAAGGGGUAUGAACUGGUGUAGUCAAUUUCUCGCCUUCUGGAGAACCGCGCUGUCCUUAAUUGGGUGACGCGGGGAACCAGGACCUUUACUUUGAAAAAAUUAGAGUGUUUAAAGCAGGCAUUUUGCUUGAAUACAUUAGCAUGGAAUAAUAAAAUAGGACGGCAUGAUUCUAUUUUGUUGGUUUCUAGGAUCACCGUAAUGAUUAAUAGGGAUAGUUGGG